rnacentral:rRNA from 1 species
CCUACGGGAGGCAGCAGUAGGGAAUAUUGCUCAAUGGGGGAAACCCUGAAGCAGCAACGCCGCGUGGGGGAUGAAGGUUUUCGGAUUGUUAACUCCUUUUGUUAGAGAAGAUAAUGACGGUAUCUAACGAAUAAGCACCGGCUAACUCCGUGCCAGCAGCCGCGGUAAUACGGAGGGUGCAAGCGUUAUUCGGAAUUACUGGGCGUAAAGAGCGCGUAGGCGGGAUAGCAAGUCAGGUGUGAAAUCCUAGGGCUUAACCAUAGAACUGCAUUUGAAACUGGUAGUCUAGAGUAGGGGAGAGGUAGGUGGAAUGCUUGGUGUAGUGGUAAAAUCCGUAGAGAUCAAGAGGAAUACUCAUUGCGAAGGCGACCUGCUGGAACAUAACUGACGCUGAUGCGCGAAAGCGUGGGGAGCAAACAGGAUUAGAUACCCUUGUAGUC